GCUGUAGCUCAGGGGUAGAGUACCUGCUUUCCAUGCACAAGGUACCUGGUUCAAUCUCCAGCAUCUCCA